rnacentral:lncRNA from 1 species
UCAUUUUCCCAUUCCGUGCUGUCCACUUAUCCAUCAUAAUGGAACAACCAAACUUGGUCCAUUCCACUUUAUGCUCCUCAAUAAUUUGGUCUACCUUAUUCACCUCCUUUUUAAGAUGAGUUACUCUAACUUCAUGAUAGCUAAGAGGCUUCAUCCCCGGGCCAUAUUGUCCUACAGCCUCAAUGAAUUUAUCAAAACUUUUGUAGUUGACACAGUUGAAAGGAAGGCCUGCAUCGUACAUCCAAUACACAAUCCCUUUGUGGCGUUAAAGCCUCGCCUCGCCUCACCUCGCUACACGCCUUUAGCGCUGUAGCGAGCGCUAUUUACAACCCCGGGAGACACAAUCCAAUACA